rnacentral:lncRNA from 1 species
CUUGCGCAUAUUAAUCAAGCAGAUAAGACCAAGGGAAGGAGGGGGUCUUGCUUCACGUGCCAUUCACAUGGGGAUAGAAACCUUGUACGGAUAAUAUGAACAAAAUGAAGCCAACCUAUGAUUCUUGCAUCAUUCCCAUAUUUGCUAAAAACUGAUAUUGGAAAAUGCUUUUUGGAUAAGGAUAUUGGAAAAUAUUAACAUUUUCAACAUUUUUUCUCCAAAUUUGACGAAAUAAAAUUAAAUUAAAA